GCAGGACCUCUGGGGAAUAAAGCUGCUCUCUUUUUCCCACAUCCCACCGUGCUCUGGGGCGCCUUUUUGUUUACACUGCCCUCACAAUGAGUGCUAUAGUGCCCGCCGAAUGAGCUUGUAUGGGAGUGUUCUGGGCCUGAAUGUACAGCCAGCCACCGGCCCUGCUCUGAAUAAGCCCCUUUGAAUAUUGCCAAGACCCCCGCUUGCAUUGUUCCGCAUUAUUCCCCGUACAAUAGAUAUCACACUUUGGAAGUAAUUUUUUUAAAAAAGGGAUGGGUGAAUCAAAAUAGUGGUAGCUUUUAGCUUUUGUUUUCUCUCUCUCUCUCUCUCUUCUUUCACUCGUCUAGCUCUCUUUCUUUCUUUUUUUCUUUUGCUUCGCGCCCGCCCUGCAUUCUCUCUUCUCUCUCGCCGGUUUUUCCCCAGCCGCUCAUUCAGAGUUCUCCAUUAUAGCGGCAAAUUAAAUAAACCACUCCAUUGCCUAAAGAGGCUGGGGCCCGGACUGAACCAGCCUAGUUUGCGUGGACCAGGGGAGCGAGGCAGGCGUGCACGCUGGGAGAGAGCGCACCUCGCUGGGCUUUAGUCCACCGCACUCGUGGUUCUUCAGGCUGAAACGGUUUGAGACGAAGCGGAGGAUGAGGAGUGGAUGGGGGGGAGCGAAGGGUCCCCACCCACCCCUCUGUCUCCAGUGGAGAUGGGGAGAAGGACAAAGGAGCUCUCUCCUUCCUCCGGCCCCCCUCCUCAAAAGGGCAGCAGGUGUAGAAGCAACAGGUGCAAGUGGAGCUUAGAAGUGACCCUUUACACACAACCUUAAUUUUUAGGAGCAACUGCUUAUGAAUUAUGAAUAACUGUUUGCUUUCUGAUGUCAUGUAACUUGAGCUGUACAGAGAUAUCAUGUGGUUUUAGUUGUGGCUGUACUCUCUUAAAAAUAAAAGUUCCCCAAACGGGGUUUUCACAGUGAUGCCACUGAAAAAACAUUUUUGGUUCCCUUUCAGUGAAGAUUAAAAAAAACUUUUACUAUAGACUUUCAGAAA
rnacentral:lncRNA from 1 species